ACGUGCUAUCUCUUACAGCAUCUCCCAAUGCUGCUUCCAAUAUAGCCUUAAACUUCUGCUCCAUCAACCACUGAAACCUGCAAACAGGCUGCAUAUGCGGAGAAUGCCACCACCUGCUCUUGUCACUACUAUCUUGGUUUUCUUUGUGUUUUCUCCUAACCAUACGCACCUGCUGUCCUUUAUCUGAGUCUGCAGUUUGACGGAGUGACUAUCUCUAGUAUAGUGAGGGAUUUAGUCCAUGAUCAAUGCCCUCAGUGCUACUGCCACAGAAAUACAUCACAUUUUAUUAAUAGUAGUUAAUACAUUAACUACUUUAAUCCUCAUUAGAUUGUUUCAUUGUCCCUUUUAUGCUUUUAUAAUUGAUAGACAGAAUAGACUUUUCACACAGACCCCUUUGGCAUAAACCUUUGAUUCUAAACUCUCCAUACAUACAGCCACACCAGCACACCAUUAGAAGCUCACAUUGGACCUGUGCACUAGAAAUGAGGUGUCUGCAAGCAGCUUAGAUACACCAUCCCUGCUAGAAAACAUUCCUCCAGCACUGAGCCUGGGCCAGGAACCAUGUUUAUGAAUCAUGAAUUGUUUAUGGCUGGUCAGUGCUGCUUACAAUCUUUUGGAUGCAAAGAAGAACGGAGUAAAGACCUAAAGGCUAGUGGGAGAAAAGACUCAUAAAGGUGACAGCCGUGAGAAAAAGUUGGGAGGAUCCAUUCUUACCUGUGCUAUUACCCCAUCAAACGGCUCUUCAUCUCAAAGUGUAUUUCCUUUUAGAAAUUCCAUGUUGGCUGGGACUCCCUUACCAGACGGAUGCCUUCCAAGCUUGCUUCCACAAUGCUUCAGGAUUUCAGUUCAGCUUCUUGAUGCCACAGAGCCACCACAAAGGGAAGAAUUAUUUUCUCUGCCUACUCUAACAACUACAUACAGAAGAUGAGGGACCUUGAACUAGCCUAGCAGCUUAUGACACUGAUCCAUGAAAUUGUGUAGUACUCAUUCUCAUUUACACUUCUCAAAUAUUAGGAUAUUGGUUUGCUAUUUUAUUUUGCUUCUCUAAACAGGCCACAGCCUCCUGAAGUGUUAUCACAAGGAUGGUCUCCAGUUCAUGGCCUCUAUAGUCAGGAACUAGAAACCUGAGUGAAGUCUUGCAUCUUAGUAAAACCCUUGUUAGCUUACGAACAGCUUAAGACAAACAAAUCAGUCAUCGGAAAACCCCAACAGGGCACUACAAUGUGGAAAUUCUGACCACGUAAUGUACUAGCAGAAAGAGGUUGACCAAGGAAUCCAACCCCAAACCCUACAAAAACUUUCUUUAAUGAAGGACAUCAUCUUAGACAUAUAGGGGCACAUUUCUGCCCCUUCAGAAAUUAGUCACAAAUCCCACUUUGCAAUCAGGUUAAACAUUAACCCCAGGACAUUUUGGAUACACAGAAGGAAACUGUUCAUGUGCUGCUAGUACAGGUGCAAUCUGUAAUGCCAGCAGGAUCAGAUGGGCACAGGAAACUUUGCCACCUGACACUACUGUGAGCAGGUCUAGAUAGCAAGAUAGUAAAACCUCAACAACCUCAAUUAUGCUGUGGCUUCCUCAGCUACAAUUCUUACUACCCUUGCAUUAACAAUGCCACCAGUACCAUGAAGCCUUAGCUUUCAUGCCCUAGAACCAAAUGGCUUUAUACCCCCUUCCUGCAUUCCCUAUCUAUUCACCUGGAAAAAAAAUUUUAAAAAGCAUUCUCUUAAUGACAGCCUGUGCUGGCACUUACAGUCUUUAUCCUUUCUAGCCAACUAGUUUGCUGCUGCAAUCAAAUAAGAAUUUGGAGGACUUACACUAUCUGCGUAUACUUCUCCACCUCUUUCUUUAGUGUGUUAUUAUCCCGCUGUUGUUUAUGGGUGGGAUUUCAACUUUUACCAAGCAAACCGAAUGCACAAAAACUUUAUUCUCAGGCUCUGAAGUGCAGUUACUCUGUUUUAAUGCAGAAGUGUAUUAAAAGAGAUACCGUAGAAACUAUAGGUUCCAGAAACCUCCCAUUCAGUUCCACCUGGAGCAUUACCUUUCCCAGCUCUCAGUUUCUGGAGGAAGUUGCGCUAAUGGUGACAAGAGCUGUGGAGGAUAUGGUGGAAAUCUCGAGCGUAUAUUUGGCCUGUAGGUUGCACUCUGAACACCUCUGUAAUAAAGUCUACUAUACAUCUUCCUGCUCCUGCUUCAGCAUGUUUUGCAAUUUGAGAAUGACGUAUAGAAAAUUACCAUAAAGAAGUCGACAAAUGUAGACUAUACUCACGGAUUAG